CUACUCAUCCCUCUUCUGCAUGCCGUUCUCCCACUACAUAUUGCUUUCCCCCUCCUACAAACCCAACCCAUCGCACCUCCUCAAUAAUGCCAAAUAUAGCUUGGUGAUUCAAACGAAAAUGAAGGGAAUGUAGAUGAAGGAGAUAGCAGAUGAUUCUCCUCUCUGGAUUCAGGAUUUCACUGCCCGACGGAGGAGUGGGCAUAAUCGGAUCCCAGAUCAAGGUUUUAAUGUAGUAUGAUUACAGAUUCUUUUGCAGAAGGCCUCCCGAUGGAUUGCUAGAAUUUGUCGACAUAGUAUAUGGUAACUAAAAUCUUCCCUUACCUUUUCCUUUUCUUUGCUAGUUUUGCAAUGUCUGAUAUUUACAUCUAGUUUCGGCAAAUUUUCUAUCCUUGCUUAUUCUACAAAAGUUUUUCCUAAAGGAAUGUACCCAAUAUAUCUACAUGAAAUUGUAGCGAAAUUGCAUAGGAAUUUCCUGAUUCAGCUUUUCUCAAUUACAAUUUUCAUGAGGGUGAAAGGAGGAGCUAAUUUGCCGUAAUUGUACGCCAAAAUGGUGUCUUCGUCGUGGAUUAUCUACAAUAAUACGAAGGUUGUCUUUUCUUCCUUGUCUUUGAAGCAUUUUCUUCUUGUUUGUGAGACUUGGAUGAUCGAGUUGAUGAGACAGAAAAGAGGGGGUGGUGGGGGAGUCAAAGAUGGAGAGAGAGAGAGAGAGAGAGAGAGAGAGAGAGAGAGAUUUAAGGCAUAAUUAUUGUAUCUCAAAUCAGAAAGGGACAAGUUGUACCUAGUAGUAAAUCGUGAAACGGUUUGAACGAGGGAGAGAGUAAAACAACUAUUUACAGUUUUUUUUUUUU